CCUACGGGCGGCUGCAGUGGGGAAUAUUGCACAAUGGGCGCAAGCCUGAUGCAGCCAUGCCGCGUGUGUGAAGAAGGCCUUCGGGUUGUAAAGCACUUUCAGCGGGGAGGAAGGCGGUGAGGUUAAUAACCUCAUCGAUUGACGUUACCCGCAGAAGAAGCACCGGCUAACUCCGUGCCAGCAGCCGCGGUAAUACGGAGGGUGCAAGAGUUAAUCGGAAUUACUGGGCGUAAAGCGCACGCAGGCGGUCUGUCAAGUCGGAUGUGAAAUCCCCGGGCUCAACCUGGGAACUGCAUUCGAAACUGGCAGGCUAGAGUCUUGUAGAGGGGGGUAGAAUUCCAGGUGUAGCGGUGAAAUGCGUAGAGAUCUGGAGGAAUACCGGUGGCGAAGGCGGCCCCCUGGACAAAGACUGACGCUCAGGUGCGAAAGCGUGGGGAGCAAACAGGAUUAGAUACCCCUGUAGUC
rnacentral:rRNA from 1 species